rnacentral:rRNA from 1 species
GAAAAGUAUCGGCAUGAGUGCGCUGGAUAGUACGUUCUGAUUAUUCAAUGUAUUAGGUUUAUCCAACUCGUUGAAGGAUCAGGUGUAAAUUUCUGGUGGCAUGGCUCGGCCUUAUAACGACCAACAAGUUUGACCUCAAAUCAGGUAAGAAUACCCGCUGAACUUAAGCAUAUCAAUAAGCGGAGGAAAAGAAACCAACAGGGAUUGCCUUAGUAGCGGCGAGUGAAGCGGCAAUAGCUCAAAUUUGAAAUCUGGCGUCUUCGGCGUCCGAGUUGUAAUUUGAAGAAGGUAUCUUUGAGGCUGGCUCUUGUCUAUGUUCCUUGGAACAGGACGUCACAGAGGGUGAGAAUCCCGUGCGAUGAGAUGCCCAGUUUCGUGUAAAGUUCCUUCGACGAGUCGAGUUGUUUGGGAAUGCAGCUCUAAGUGGGUGGUAAAUUCCAUCUAAAGCUAAAUAUUGGCGAGAGACCGAUAGCGAACAAGUACUGUGAAGGAAAGAUGAAAAGAACUUUGAAAAGAGAGUGAAAAAGUACGUGAAAUUGUUGAAAGGGAAGGGCUUGAGGUCAGACUUGGUUUACCAGGCCAGCAUCAGUUUGGGUGGCAGGAUAAUAGCUAAGGAAAGUGGCACGAUUUCGGAUUGUGUGUUAUAGCCUUGGUUGAUACUGCCUGCCUAGACUGAGGACUGCGUCUUUGACUAGGAUGCUGGCAUAAUGACCUUAAGCCGCCCGUCUUGAAACACGGACCAAGGAGUCUAACGUCUAUGCGAGUGUUUGGGUGUUAAAC